CUUAAUAUGAACUAGAAGUUUGAGUAUUUAUUUAUUUUUUGUUAUCAAACUUUUUCGAUUCUAAUAAUAAACGAGGCUAUUAGUGUUGCAAUGAUCCUAAUUUACCAAAAAAAGAAAAUAGAAAAUACAGUUGGAAGAAGACACGAGUUUGUUAAAGUUUUAAUACAAAUAUGACAAAAAAAAAAAAAAAAAUAGAAGACAAAAUAUAUUAUGAGUCAAUACCAUGGAAUAGGAACAGUUCAACGUGCGCAUGUACAUAAAAAUAAAACAUUGUUAAGCUAUAGAGUACAGAGAAAUUGAGCCUCUGUAUUGAGUAAAUGAUUUGCUUUAAUGGCUUGUUAGCUGACUCAGCAAAAAUUGUCCCGAUUAAUUGCAAUAUUGAUAAUUGAUAUUGAUAAAUUUAUUGACAUCUUAUUAUAUUUUAUGAAUAAUUUGUAAUAAAGUGAAGACCAAACUUUCACAAAAUUGAUAG